GUAAAAAUAUACGGUAAAAGAUGAAGAAAACGAAGAAUAAAAAGUUCUAGGUGAUGAGAAACAUGUCAUUAGAAGUAAAGUACAAGAAAUUAAAUGCACUAUCUAUAUCUAUCACAUUGAUCUAGAAGGACAAACAACAUCUUCUGCCUAUGAUGAACUACUUUCUACAUCUCAAAAGCAUUCAAUUAUAAUCUUCUUUGAUUGUUUGUAGAUACAAAUGCAGAUGACAAUUCAACUAGCUUUUUAUCAGUUUCACCACUUUCCUCUCUCCAAUUUGGAAGAUGGAUAGUGUGAGAUCUCAGCCAUCUUGUAGCAGGAGCUGGGGCCAAAUUUUAAGGAUUGUGGAUACUUUUCUGAGGUAUAGAUGUUAUACUUGACUCAGACAGAGGAGAGUGGAAUUUCAUGUGUAAGGGUGAAAUCUGGAGAUCUACGAAGGAACGCCAAAAGCGAAGGCAGCUCUCUCGUCCCUACCGACGCUGAGGUGCGAAAGCACGGGGAGCGAGCAGGGUUUGUAGUCCAUGCCGUAAACGAUGAGUGUUCUUAUUACAUUUUUACUAUUGAGACAUUAUAAAAUUCUUGAGUAAUGCUACCUACGAGCUUACUUUUUCACAAAGGUUGCAGAAUGACAAAUAUCACAUUCGUUUGGGGGUCCAGUAACAUCUAAAUUGUGUGAGUCAAAUUAUUUGUGAUGAUUCUAUAUUGCAGAUGUGUUCAACACCAUUUGAAU